CAAGUAGCGUGCAGGAGGACGGCCCUACGGGUUGUAAACUGCUUUUAUGCGGGGAUAAAGUGAGGGACGUGUCCCUUUUUGCAGGUACCGCAUGAAUAAGGACCGGCUAAUUCCGUGCCAGCAGCCGCGGUAAUACGGAAGGUCCGGGCGUUAUCCGGAUUUAUUGGGUUUAAAGGGAGCGUAGGCCGGGGAUUAAGUGUGUUGUGAAAUGUAGGCGCCCAACGUCUGACUUGCAGCGCAUACUGGUUCCCUUGAGUACGCGCAACGCCGGCGGAAUUCGUCGUGUAGCGGUGAAAUGCUUAGAUAUGACGAAGAACCCCGAUUGCGAAGGCAGCCGGCGGGAGCGCAACUGACGCUGAAGCUCGAAGGUGCGGGUAUCGAACAGGAUUAGAUACCCUGGUAGUCCGCACGGUAAACGAUGGAUGCCCGCUGUCGGCGCCUUGCGCCGGCGGCCAAGCGAAAGCGUUAAGCAUCCCACCUGGGGAGUACGCCGGCAACGGUGAAACUCAAAGGAAUUGACGGGGGCCCGCACUAGCGGAGGAACAUGUGGUUUAAUUCGAUGAUACGCGAGGAACCUUACC
rnacentral:rRNA from 1 species